UACAGGGGGGGGCAAGCGUUGUUCGGAAUUACUGGGCGUAAAGGGCUCGUAGGUGGCCAACUAAGUCAGACGUGAAAUCCCUCAGCUUAACUGGGGAACUGCGUCUGAUACUGGAUGGCUUGAGUUUGGGAGAGGGAUGCGGAAUUCCAGGUGUAGCGGUGAAAUGCGUAGAGAUCGGGAAGAACAUCAGUGGCGAAGGCGGCCUGCUGGGCUGUUGCUGACGCUGAGGCGCGACAGCGUGGGGGAGCAAACAGG
rnacentral:rRNA from 1 species